rnacentral:lncRNA from 1 species
AUGUUGUAUUCUCUAAUUCAUCAGGUGAUCAGUGAAACCAUGCUGAAGGUAAUAUUACUACUGGGAUGCCUCGUUUGCCUCGCUCUGGCUGAUUCUCAAAAUGAUCAGAUACUCCAACGAGUUGCACGGUCACAUCGUGGACACCACUCCCCAAAGGGCCAUCGACAUCAUCAUGGCAACAACAAUCCAUCUGUGAACCAGCAGCUGCAAACGUUGCUUGACCUCCUCAAGCAGAUCGCUUCAACUACUACUACAACUACAGCUCCAACUACUACUACUACUACAGCUACUACUACAACUACAGCUCCAACUACUACUACUACUACAGCUACUACUACAACUACAGCUCCAACUACUACUACUACUACAGCUACUACUACAACUACAGCUCCAACUACUACUACUACUACAGCUACUACUACAACUACAGCUCCAACUACUACUACUACUACAGCUACUACUACAACUACAGCUCCAACUACUACUACUACUACAGCUACUACUACAACUACAGCUCCAACUACUACUACUACUACAGCUACUACUACAACUACAGCUCCACCAACUACUACUACUACAGCUACUACUACAACUACAGCUCCAACUACUACUACUACUACAGCUACUACUACAACUACAGCUCCAACUACUACUACUACCACAGCUACUACUACAACUGCUGUUCCAACUACUACUACAACUAUAGUUCCAACUACUACUACUACCACAGUUACUACUACAACUGCUGCUCCAACCACCACUGCUGUGGCUGCAACAACAUAAAUUCUAAAAUGAAAGCUUGGAAACUAAAACUCUGACAGAAAAAAAAUCUACAGAUAUCUAGGUUUACAUAGUUUUUGAAAUAUUACAUGAUGUUAUUAUCUGUACGAUUUCACAAAUAAAUCAGAAUUGAACAGGAAAAUCUGUUCUAAUUGUGUUUGUCCUGUGAGUCAGCUGUGUAGGACAACUAGUCUUAGAAUAAGCACCAAAAACAAACAAGCACUGGUGUGAGAUGAGAUCUGGACUCAUGUCAAGCAUAUUCAGCUACUGAGGCGUAAGGGUUCUGUAGGUUUGUAAUAAUGAUACUAGUGUCCUCUGCUGGUGAGGUGUGUGUGUGUGUGUGUGUGUGUGUGCGUGCGUGUGUGUGUGUGUGUGUGUGUGUGUGUGUGAUGCUAACAUGGAAGUGAGAAAAUGUACAGUUCCAUCCUCAUCCACUAGGGGCUGGCACUGCAAACGAGUAAAUCCUCAUUGACUCCCAUUUGAAAAAUGCCAACCUCACAGCAGGAAUAAACAUGUUUACAGCCUGGUUCAAAAACAUUUUAGGUUUAAAAGAUCUAGUUCACAGUCAUGACAACUCUGAGCAGGGUGAUUUUUUUGUAACUCUUCAGUUAAGGUGCAAUCAAAGGCUUUAAUUAUGAAUAAUUAGAUUUGAUUGACAGGUUGCAUUAGUCGUCAGAGCUAGACCUAGCAGGAAGGUCUCAGCCUCGGCCUCACGUUAGUAGAUGUUCUGCCAUUUUGACUCUGAAAUUCAACUGUGUCCUCUCUGUGUUCGUGUUUGGAUGUUAAAGGUGCAUUAUGUAGAACUGAAGUAAAAAUGACAUCAUGUGGUAAAAUUUGGUUACUGCAACCACUUUAACCAGCUGGAGCUUUUCACCAGCUGUUGUCAAAUUACAAUUGUCGGCGCUGCAGUAUUUGCUUGCAGGAGACACAACAACCCCACACUCACUGAUGGUAAACAGUAGUUACGUCCCUCCUUCCUUUGUUUUGAAAGGAGGAAAACUGACAAUCCCCGAAGCCAGCUGGAUAUGGAAUAUGUUUCAAUAUAACUAUUUUCAGUCAUUUUGGAAGGACGAAAUGACUGAAACAUUAGGCUCUUUUGGGAUUUUCUCUGUAAAAUUCUCACUAUAUUCUUACAUAGUGAACCUUUAAUCGUGGCAGAGAGGGCAAGCUGUGGUAUUGAUUGCACUAACAAACCAUCCAAAAAGUCUCUGCUUCAUUUUUUAAAUGAUGUAUUGGUAAGGCUGGGUACUGAGACUCAGACGGAUCUCCAACUGCGGGCGCUGGCUCUGACCUCUGCUGUCUGAGGCUGUGCUUGUCACCUGUGGAGCUCUCUGAGGAAGACCACAAAAAUUCUGCAGCUCAUGAGUUGAUGGAUGCUUCAAGUUUGAAUCGCUCAACCACGUUUUUCUGGCUAAAAGCGUCCAUAAACCACCGUUAGUUUAGUUUAGCUUGUAGCUGGGAACCAUGUUGGAGUUAGAUCCUCAUAGUUCUGCUCCCAGCUCCACCUCUUUGCCCAUUUUUGGAUAUGGUGUUAGUGAUGACACGAGUUACACAGGCAAGAUAGUAGUGGUGGGAACCGCCCAUCUGGCUUCAAAUAAUUAUUUUAGAAAACGAUGGGUGACAUCACGAAAGGUUUGUCCAUCUUUUUUUUUUUUUUUUACAGUCAUUGGUAAUUGUUACACAGUGAAGUGUAUUGAGGACAAAAGAAGCAUGAUGACUUGGUUGAUAAACAAGGAAAACCAAUUUAAUUUCCUCUGGUCCAAACAAAAAUCAGAAAAUCCCAGCACUAUUCAAAAUGGCCACCCAUCCAACUCUCCUCCAGUCUCUGUCACUUUCAGAGAAAAAAGAUCCUUUGCCACACCCAGCAGUCCACCUAUAUACUCUCCGACCCCCCCUCCAAUUCAGGUCGGCCAAUCACCUUAGUCCACUCAGGCAUUUCACUGUAUAAAGGCAGCAUUAGAGGCGGGCUUCCUCUUUAGCUGCUUCAAAAUGGCUGCCACACAGGACACCUCCUGAGGGUAACAAACAAAUUCAUGUUUAACACAGAUUACAUUUGUCCUGCAUGAACACUCUUUAGUUAAAGAAAACAUGUUGCUUCUCAACAGUAAUAUAAGGGCCAAAUUAAGACAAGCUAUCUGAAUUUGUUGUUAAUAUUUUUUCUUUUUUACAACAAUAAUGUAAAUUCAACAAUUUAUCUAAAUCCUGUCUCAGAAAUGGUAAAAUGGUAAAUCAAUCAAUCAAUCAAUCAAAGCUUUAUUUAUAAAGCGCCUUCCGCAACCCUGUCAGGAAGCCCAAAGCGCUGAACAUGGUACAGUUGUAAGUAAUUAUACUGAAUAAAUCAACAAUAAAAGAAAUUCAAUUACAAAAUUCAACUAGAACUGCAAGCA